ACGGAAGGCAGCAGUGGGGAAUAUUGGGCAAUGGGGGAAACCCUGACCCAGCAACGCCGCGUGAAGGAAGAAGGCCUUCGGGUUGUAAACUUCUUUUACCAGGGACGAAAUUUGACGGUACCUGGAGAAAAAGCAACGGCUAACUACGUGCCAGCAGCCGCGGUAAUACGUAGGUUGCAAGCGUUGUCCGGAUUUACUGGGUGUAAAGGGCGUGUAGGCGGAGCUGCAAGUCAGAUGUGAAAUCCCGGGGCUCGACCCCGGAACUGCAUUUGAAACUGUAGCCCUUGAGUAUCGGAGAGGCAAGCGGAAUUCCUAGUGUAGCGGUGAAAUGCGUAGAUAUUAGGAGGAACACCAGUGGCGAAGGCGGCUUGCUGGACGACAACUGACGCUGAGGCGCGAAAGCGUGGGGAGCAAACAGGAUUAGAUACCCUGGUA
rnacentral:rRNA from 1 species